rnacentral:rRNA from 1 species
CUUACACAUGCAGUCGAACGGAAACGAUACUAGCUUGCUAGUAGGCGUCGAGUGGCGGACGGGUGAGUAACGCGUAGGAAUCUGCCUGAUAGUGGGGGAUAGCCCGAAGAAAUUCGGAUUAAUACCGCAUAAUCUAUUCGUAGUAAAGUGGGGGACUUUCGAGCCUCACGCUAUCAGAUGAGCCUGCGUAAGAUUAGCUUGUUGGUAGGGUAAAAGCCUACCAAGGCGACGAUCUUUAGCUGGUCUGAGAGGAUGAUCAGCCACAUCGGGACUGAGACACGGCCCGAACUCCUACGGGAGGCAGCAGUGGGGAAUAUUGGACAAUGGGGGCAACCCUGAUCCAGCAAUACCGCGUGUGUGAAGAAGGCCUGAGGGUUGUAAAGCACUUUCAAUUGUGAAGAAAAGUUAGCGGUUAAUAACCGUUAGCCUUGACGUUAACUUUAGAAGAAGCACCGGCUAACUCCGUGCCAGCAGCCGCGGUAAUACGGAGGGUGCAAGCGUUAAUCGGAAUUACUGGGCGUAAAGCGUGCGUAGGCGGUUUAUUAAGUCAGAUGUGAAAGCCCCGGGCUUAACCUGGGAACUGCAUUUGAAACUGGUCAACUAGAGUAUGGUAGAGGAAAGUGGAAUUUCUGGUGUAGCGGUGAAAUGCGUAGAUAUCAGAAGGAACAUCAAUGGCGAAGGCAGCUUUCUGGACCAAUACUGACGCUGAGGUACGAAAGCGUGGGUAGCAAACAGGAUUAGAUACCCUGGUAGUCCACGCCGUAAACGAUGAUAACUAGCCGUUGGGGGGAUUUACCCUUUAGUGGCGAAGCUAACGCGUUAAGUUAUCCGCCUGGGGAGUACGGCCGCAAGGUUAAAACUCAAAGGAAUUGACGGGGACCCGCACAAGCGGUGGAGCAUGUGGUUUAAUUCGAUGCAACGCGAAGAACCUUACCUGGUCUUGACAUCCUGCGAACUUUCUAGAAAUAGAUUGGUGCCUUCGGGAACGCAGUGACAGGUGCUGCAUGGCUGUCGUCAGCUCGUGUCGUGAGAUGUUGGGUUAAGUCCCGUAACGAGCGCAACCCCUAUCCUUAUUUGCCAGCACAUCAUGGUGGGAACUAUAAGGAGACUGCCGGUGAUAAACCGGAGGAAGGCGGGGACGACGUCAAGUCAUCAUGGCCCUUACGACCAGGGCUACACACGUGCUACAAUGGGAAGGACAAAGAGCCGCGAAGCCGCGAGGUGUAGCUAAUCUCAUAAACCUUUUCGUAGUCCGGAUUGGAGUCUGCAACUCGACUCCAUGAAGUCGGAAUCGCUAGUAAUCGUAGAUCAGAAUGCUACGGUGAAUACGUUCCCGGGUCUUGUACACACCGCCCGUCAUACCAUGGGAGUGGGUUGCACCAGAAGUGGCUAGUCUAACUUUAUGAGGACGGU